AAGAAAAAAAGUGAGGACACGUAUUACGUCUAUAUAUAUAUAUACACACACAAUUUUAAAGGCUUGAUCUUGAACAUGAACGGUUCGAAUAUCGUUUCUCGAAUCCGAAGCCUUUUCUUUUUUUUUUAAUAAUCCGACCAGGAAACGAGCUCCAAGCCGAAAUUUCCGAUGCCGAAACAAGCUUGAGUUAUCGGUGAAUUCAAGAUCCGUGGCGGAGACUGACAUUCAUUUCGCCGUGAAGCAGCGGUUUCUUCCCAGAACUCUCUUUCACAACAAUCCUACCAAUAAAUUCCUCACCCGUCCAAUCCUCUCCAUCAUUUGCUGCAAAUUCGUCGUCGACCACCAGGAAUUCCUCAGCUGUCCAAUUCUCUCGAUCAUUUGCUGCAAAUUCGCCGUCGAACACCAUGAUUUCAACGACGGAUCUUUCCCGCCAACCUCGACGGCCAUACGCGGCGGUUGACUUUCAACAUUCGGAUAGUCGCCGCGGUUAUUGAUUUCAUCGGGGUGCUCGAUGGAAAAUUUGCAGCAGGUGAUCGAGAGGAUUGGACGGCUGAGGAAUUCAGUGCUAGCAUUGUGAAAGAGAGGUCUGCAAAGAGGCGGCUGCUCCACGGGUCAAAUGAAUGUAACAUUUUGCUACUGCGCCGCAACCAUUGGGGGUCUUGGAUUCACCGAUAAAUCAGACUGGAUUCGGAAAAGAAAUUUCAGCUUGGAGUCCGAAUUGUUUCAGGUCCAAUCUUCAAAAAGGCCCCGGAUUCAGGAAGCCAUAACUGAACCAAUCAUGGUCAAAUACCAAAAUCUUUUCCAAAAAUAAAAUAUCUGAUUGGCUGACGGUGGGAUGGGAACCAAUUAUCGGAAACCAAAUCAAUUUUGAUGUAUUUUUUGCUUUCCAGGAUUCGAAUUCUCUUCUGUACGUUUUCUUGCGAUGAUAUUCUCUGGUACUCACUCACCGGAGGAUAAACUUCGCUUCCGCUAAGAUGUUCAGCUACUUGGCCUUGUCCCCUGUGCAUUCAACGUUCUAGCGAUUGAGAGAAGAUGUCGACAGCUAAAGAAAGAGAAGGACAUAGCAAUAGAUUCUCGGCCUAAAAGCUUUCCACUGAUAAGGGCAAG